rnacentral:rRNA from 1 species
UACGUAGGGGGCAAGCGUUGUCCGGAAUCAUUGGGCGUAAAGAGCGCGUAGGCGGCCCGGUAAGUCCGCUCUGAAAGUCAAAGGCUCAACCUUUGAAAGCGGGUGGAUACUGCCGGGCUAGAGUCCGGAAGAGGCGAGUGGAAUUCCUGGUGUAGCGGUGGAAUGCGCAGAUAUCAGGAGGAACACCAACGGCGAAGGCAGCUCGCUGGGACGGUACUGACGCUGAGGCGCGAAAGCGUGGGGAGCGAACAGG